GCCUCGGUAGCUCAGUUGGCUAGAGCGGUGGCUUCGUAUCAAAAGAGAAAAAGCCACAAGCCGCGGGUUCGAAUCCCGCUCGAGGCU
rnacentral:tRNA from 1 species